rnacentral:rRNA from 1 species
CCCAGCACCGAAGCCUGUGGCCAUUUGGUUACUAGGCAAUGUGGUGUUCAGGUCGUUCCGCGGAGGUUCUGCUCCACCCUAAGUCCAUCAAUGAGUACGGUAUUAUGGACAUGGCCCACAGAGGGUGAAAGGCCCGUGGGGGUGGAGAUUCGGUAGGCCAGAACUUCUCUGGGUAGACCUUGGAGUCGGGUUGUUUGUGAAUGCAGCCCAAAGUGGGUGGUAAACUCCAUCCAAGGCUAAAUACUUGCACGAGUCCGAUAGCGAACAAGUACCGUGAGGGAAAGUUGAAAAGUACUUUGAAGAGAGAGUAAACAGUGCGUGAAACCGCUCAGAGGUAAACGGGUGGAGUUGAACUGCAAGCUCUGGGAAUUCAACUGGUGAGUGUGGUUUGAGCUUGGUCAUAUUGGUGGACGUCGGGGUCUGCGUAGCAGCAGGUCUUCGCCUUCGGGUGGGGAUGCGCGAUGCACUUAUCAAGUGUUGUGCGCCUCGGUUGUUCCCGGCCAACUCGCUAGUGCACUUUCUCAGAGUGGUCACCACGACCGACGCCGCUGGCUGGCCGCUGUGGUUAAACCGAAUCUGCAUAGUCCCUGUGGCUUUGCUUAGUCGGGAUGGCAGGUAUCUCGUUGACUUGCUCGUGGUUCGCUGCGAGCGUGGUUUUCGAGUAUAAUCCGCUGACCGUGGUGGUUCUGUACAGUGUGUCGGGGACGGCGGCUCGAGGUGUGUGCAUGCGUUGCUGUUUUGCUGACUGGUCCGAGUUUGGUUAUUUUGUAGCCUGUUCAAUCAGGUCUGGUAGUAGCUCGGAUUUGUUCGGCUGGCGGUGGCGUGUGUGGCACUGUUCCAAGGGCCAACAGUCUGUGGUGUAGUGGU